rnacentral:ncRNA from 1 species
ACUAUGGAGAGUACAAGGAAUUAUGAGUAGAUACAUUGUAUUGAAAAAUAUACUCGUUGAAGUAGUAA